CACACAGCGAUUUGCAAGUGAAUGCGAGGGGAGGGCGCAUCCAAGACGAGAGCAGUGGAUGAAAGGCUUCCCCUCCCCCGCAGGGCAGAAAGACUCUCUGUUUCAAGGCUAAGAAAUUUGAAUUUCAUGCCCAAAUGUGUGUGGGGGCAGAUGUAAGUCAUGAUCUCAAGGUUCUUGAGUCUGAGUCCAGCCUAGACCUCCAAGCUGACAGCACUGGAGCCUGCUUGAGAUUCUCUCUCUCUCUCUCUCUCUCUCUCUCUCUCUCUCUCUCCGUCUCUCUCUCUCUCUGCCCUCUCCUGCCCAUCGUCUCUCUCUCUCUCUCUCUCUCUCAAAAUACACAGAUACACUUUAAAAAAAAAAUAGAAAAUAUUUCUGCUCAACAAAAUGAUAUUUAGAGCAGAAAACGAUUUUUGAAUCUUGAUGUCACAUACGAGGGCACUAAACUCUGGAAAACUGUAAUGUGUGUGAUAAUCGAGUUAGAAUUCUCAACCUGAUCUCUUGCUUACCCAUAGUUUUUUCAACAGAAUGCUUUAACGUUACAGUCAGGUAAAAAUAAGUACUCCAAUUUUUUUCCUGUAAUGCAUUUGUUAAUAUACAUUAAUAUACAUGUGUGUCUUCAAUAUAAUACUGCCAUUGACAUAUUAAAGUUGGUUGUCAAGAGAAAUUGUAGAAUCUCAUACUGUUUGCAUGUUAUACAGUCUUUAGUUAAGUGCGGGAGGGAUGAUGAACACACACAUGAUGGCCUCUUUCUGUAUGCUUGUUUGUUGUUAGUUUUAGAAUAAAUGACUGCAUAUGUGAUGAGUUAUUUGGAUUACAUUUAAAUGGGUCCAAUUUAAAAAAUAACCAAAGGCUGAAAUCAGAUGUGAAAUGCUAUUUUAUUCAUGAAAAUAUAUGAUGUGAUGAUAUAUUCCUAAAAUAAUAGUUUCUCAACAAGACAGAAGUUUGUUCUUCUCUUACAUAAAUUUCUGAGUUGGUAUCAUUGCCCUGCUCUGUGUAGUCAUCAGAAACUCAGAUUGUCUUCAUGCUCAACCGUUAUUAAGGAAUUGAAUUCAUAUAGAUGACCCAAGAGAGAUCACCCCCACAUCUGCUUUUUAUAAAGAGAAAUAAAAUGAAGAAGAAAAGGAUGCUCCCUUCCCUUAGAAUCUUCUGUGAUUUCAUUGGCUGGAAACUAGAUACUUGACCACAAAUUUGUUGUGAGAGAGACUUGGGAACAUAGUAUUUAUUCUGCAAAGCCAUUUGCCCAGCCAAGGCCAUUGAUACUUUUAGAGAAGUAGAUAACAAAAUUGGAUACAAAUAGCAGUAGUGCUGGCAUAGGUUUUCUAGCUUUUUAGAGGAAAAAAAUUGUUUUUGUCUAAAAUUGAAAUUCAUCGUAGUGUUGGAGAACGGCACCCAUGCAAAAUGAUUGUAAUAUUUUAAAGCUUUACAGUAUGAGACAAUGGUCUUGCCUGUUACUGCAUUUUCUUUUAUGAUCAGGCAAUAUGUGUAGUAAAUAAUAAACAUCUAUGUAUUCCAAAGUUCAGGAAAUACAGAUACAGAUGUAUGAAAGAGAGAGAGCAUUUGAAAAAUGAAUGUAUUAAAACUUAUCCCAUUUUCCUUGAUACCCUCCUUUUAAGAGAGCGACUCAUAUGCUAUCUUAUUGAACAUAAGCUUUAGUAAUAAAAAUUAAAAUACAGAACAAACAGAACAUUACUUCAAAAUUAAAACCUCUAAUAAGGAGUUUUGUUUUAUUAAACAAUAUAAUUUUCAAUUCCUUCUUUUUUUCACUCUGUAAAUGGGUUAACAGGAUUCUGCAAAUCUAUUUCUUUUGAGUUUUCUGUAGAAAUAUUACGCAAACUAGUUGUGUGAGUUAGGUAAAACUGCCUUAGAGUCACCAACGUUAAGAAAUGGUAACCCACAGGGGCACCUGAGUGGCUCAGUUGGUUAAGCAUCCGGCUUCAGCCCAGGUCAUGAUCUCAAGGUUGGUGGGGUUGAGCCCCACCUUGAGCUCUGUGCUGACAGCUCUGGAGCCUGUAACCUGCUUUGGAUUCUGUGUCUCCCUGUCUCUCUGCCCCUCCCCCACCCCCCGCUUGCUCUUUGUCUCUCUCAAAAAUAAAUAAAGAUUAUUAUUAUUAUUAUUAUUAUUUAAAGAAAUGGUAGCCCAAUGAAAAGCCCAAGAAAAAGAAAAGACAGUAAAAUCUGUAUGAAUGGGAUCAAUGAGUCAGUGCCUCAGAAGUAUCCCUCAUUGUAAGGAGAGGCCACAUGUCCAUUGUAAGAAAAUAAAAGCAGAUAAAAACUUGAAACAAGUUA